AGCAGUCGCCACGGUAAUACGAAGGGUGCAAGCGUUAAUCGGAAUUACUGGGCGUAAAGCGUGCGUAGGCGGUGAGUUAAGUCUGCUGUGAAAUCCCCGGGCUCAACCUGGGAAUGGCAGUGGAUACUGGCUCGCUAGAGUGUGUCAGAGGAUGGUGGAAUUCCCGGUGUAGCGGUGAAAUGCGUAGAGAUCGGGAGGAACAUCAGUGGCGAAGGCGGCCAUCUGGGACAACACUGACGCUGAGGCACGAAAGCGUGGGGAGCAAACAGGAUUAGAGACCCGAGUAGUCCCUGUCUCUUAUAA
rnacentral:rRNA from 1 species